rnacentral:lncRNA from 10 species
GUGCUCAAGAGCUGCAGGGGCAGGGCCCAGGCAAAAGGUGGGUGAUGACUACCUGCUGCUUUCCCUACUCCGUAGAUGGGUCUGGAACAUCGGGUAAAACCCAGUCCUCCUCUCAGUGCAUCUCUACUCACCAACAAUGGUGAAUCUCAGCUCUGUGUAUUCAAGACAGGCAAAACAGAAUAUGCCUCAUUAUGGCUGGAGCGUGCCUCUACUUUGAGAUAAAGCUGGAUGACAGGUGGAUCCUGGCCCACUUAGGAGACAUCUUUAGAAAGGGAAAGGCUGUCUUUUUGUACAGGUAGUAGAACAACAAGGUCAGCUGAGCUUAAGGCUGUGGGGUUCGAAGCAGCCCUUCAAGAAGUCAUCACCCCUGAAGUAGUGCCUGCGAGUCAGUCAGAGGCAUACCAAACCCUGAGACAGAAUCAGGCACAAGUUCACAACUUUUUUUUUUUUUUGGGGGGAGACAGUCCUACUCUGUCGCCCAGGCUGGAGUGCAGUAGCGCGAUCUCAGCUCACUGCAACCUCCGCCUCCCGGGUUCAAGCAAUUCUCCUACCUCAGCCUCCCGAGUAGCGGGGACUACAGGUGCAUGCCGCCACGCCCGGUUAAUUUUUUGUAUUUUAGUAGAGAUGGGGUUUCACCGUGUUGCCCAGGCUGGUCGCGAACUCCUGAGCUCAGCCAAUCCGCCCACCUCGGCCUCCCAAAGUGCUGGGAUUACAGGUAUGAGCCACCACGCCCAGCCAAGUUCACAACUUCUGAUAUCAAGUUGUUGCUGAGAAAAGGUCAGGACACUUCUUAAGUAGAGAAGGACUGUGACAUCCCCUCCAAACCUCCAUGUAACACUAACAAAUGGCCUCAUUUACACGAUUAAAAACAAAAUGGUAUCGUCAAUAAAUGCAAACCUUAAACUGCAUUUGAAAUUACUUCCUGGUUGGCAUGUUAAUCUAGCUUUCCCAGGUGACUAAUUUUCUCACAGUUUAUGUAUUUGCAGCUUGACAGGGAGUAUUUGUGAUUGGAGUCACUUCGUUCAUGCCUGUAAGCUUGGAAACCCAGCUUUGCACAUAUCCAAUCCACACCACAGCCCCUUUCUAAAGAUAAAUGUGUAUUUUCCUUAUGCCAUCCUAUAAACGGGAAAGAAAAUGGAAGGACACAUGCCAACUCCAAUGGGUGCGGGGCAAAACAGAGAGAAGCCACACGCAGGCACGUCCUCAGAGCUCAGGUAUGCAAAGUUCACUGCUCCCCUGAAGCCCUCAAAGCUGCUCUGGGUAAAGACCAUUUCCUUUGUAACCAAUUUCCCUGAGCUCUUCUUUUGCAUUCCCAAAGACCCAUGGUUGCCAUCACGUCAUGCAAACAAACAUUUCCAUCCUGAACACACGCUCCUGUGGAGGGCCUUUGGGAUGCAGGGUUCAGCAUAUGCUGCAUCUGGUAAGGGCCCAGCAAUCUGAGAGGACAAAACAUCACCAUGUAAGUAAUAUAUGCGAUGUGGUUUUGAUCAAAGGUCACUCUGACUCUGUGAUGAAAACAUCAGGAUUGACUGCUAAAUCAUACCCACCCUAAGGAAGGGUUUAAGGAAAGGUGGGGUGUCCAGGGGCUCUGGACAGGACUCCCAGGGAAUUCAAGUGCUUAGGGAGAGGAGGUAAACACAGCCUCCUGGACAGCCGUGAGACCACAGCAGAAGUCACAUAUGGAUGGGUCAUUUCCUGGCAGAAGGUACAAAGCAAGAGGUUAGUUCCUGGGGGUGUAGCUGCACUUCUGAAGCCAGGUUUUAAGAAUAAGCAACAAAAAGGAGCUCCUGCUGUAGACAAAUUUAAGUGUCAGCAAAGAUCAAGAUGCUAAUUUAUGGAAAUUACCAAUUUCUGGCAAGAAUCUAGAAAGAUGGUUUCAAUGUCCCCUGAAGAAAAGAGCCAAAUGCAUUCAGUUUAUGUUAUGUUCGUUUAUUGUUGUAACAUUUUGUUUUGAACAUCAAACACUGCACCAAAAUAUUAGCCAUUCAUCUUGCAACAAUUGCUUUACUGUAACUAAGAGUACUGUACUGAUGAUGUUUACAAUUAACUUUGGACAACUUAAAACUUAUUAGUGACAUUGCUGUCUAAUAAUCAAAUACUUCAUCAUAGGCUGAACAUAAUUAUUAAAAGAGCAAAGUUUCCCCUCCCUUUCUUACUUUCAAACAAAACCAAAAGAGUAGUUUUCAUCUGGAAAGAGCACUUACUUCAGGGAAAGACUCAAUUUUUAACCAGUUUUAUUAAACCCUGGAAGCUCUACAACACGGGAAAACAUCGAAAUUCCCCGGAAGUCUGUUUUUGCCAACUUGUAAAAAGUGAAAGAGCUGACUUCCUUGUUUAUUCUUUAAAGGGUUGGCCUGCACCUGCAGUGCCAACUGUGGAAGGGCUGUGUGCAGGCCCCACAGUUGCAGGGGCUGUUCCGGGCCAGCGCUUCCCAGUCAUCCAAUCUCCUUUGUCCCUCGGUUGUUCUGUGACUUUGAGCAGCUUUCAUUUUAGGACAUCCCAUUUUUAAGUUUUUUCUUUUUCCAGUUGAAAACUAUGCAGAUGUUUUUAGACAGAGCAAAACACAACACAGUACCCAAAAACGGAGGCAGCCUGCAUGCUCCAGGUCUACACGAGCACCUCACAGCCUGACAAGGGGCAGACAGCAACUCACACGGGACGAGCUUCAGCACACAGACAGCAAAGCAAAUACGAGACUUAGACUGAACUGCAAAGAGGGAAAGGGCCAUUUCACCAAUGGAGUAACUGAGAGAAUAAUGACUUAGAGCCCAAUCUGCCUGCCAUCUCCCUGAGCCGUCACCCGUCACUGAAGAUAGCGCGAGGGUGAUGCUUCAACUCACCAUCCUAAGGGUUUGUGUACAAACACACUCGAGGGCAUCUCUUUCACAGAAAGAACAAAUGUCAUUUGUACCAAAUGGCAAUGGAUUUUCAGCACAAACUUAAUACUUUCCUAACACUACAGCAAUAGUAAUCAUCUACUUUCAGCAAGAGGGACUCCUUUAAACAAGGAAAAAGACUCACAUUAAUUAGCCUAUGUACCCACUGGAUCAAUCUGCAGCAACAAAGUCUAGUGCUAGCAGACACAGGGACAGAGGGACCAGCUACCCUCAACACAGGGCCAGGAGAGCCGGGUCCUAGACUGAACCCUCUAAGAAGGCCCAUGUGUCCAAAGAGAAGAGCUGUCAAGAAAAAGAAACUAGUCAAAAACUCUUUAAAGGACAACCUAAAAAGGAUUAAAGAUGUAUAUUAAGAUUUUUCAGUACCAUACAUAUGCAAAGAAGUCCUACUAUAAGCUCAGUUAAACACACAAAGCUCUCAUUCUUCCUCUAAAUAGAAGGUAGUCAAGAGGACACACAGAUGGCAUCUAUGAAAUAAGGUGGCUGCAUGGCUGCUGUACUAGAAUUCACAAACUGGGAAGAACUUCAUAUAAACAGAACCCAGGAUCCCUAACCUACUGUAGAUAAAUAAACUCAUUAAACAAUUAGUCCUUAUCAACUAUUUAAGCUGGGGGAAGCUUUGCAUGGGAGAAGGCUCAUGUGGUCCCUUCUCUGGGAACAUGAGCCUUCCUAGGUUUUGCCACUGAGAACUGUGUUUAGGGGAUUUCAACAUUGUCUCUGCAUCCGACAAGCACUAGGAAAAUGGCUGAAAUCAGUCAGGGACUUUCAACUCUCCAAUCUGGAAAAAUAACCACCCCUAUUUCUCUAUCUCUAGAUCAGCAUUAUUUUAGGUGAAGCAAACUAAAACAUGUAGAGGUUCCACUACAACGGCAGGGGCAUGAAGAGUUGGCCACGAGACCACCCCGAGCGCCAAGCCUGUAUCUGCAGAUCCCUCUCUGCUCAGGAACCACCACGUCCUGUGUUCUCGCCAAUGGAGACCAAGACCUGGGGAGCUGAGCUGCAGACCUGCCGAGCCUGAGCAGCUGGCCUGGGAAGGCAAAGGAGGAUGGCGGGACCAGCUCCAGAAGCACCCGUCCCCGCUGGGGAAGGCUGGUAUCUGAGGUCAGCAGAAGAGCCAGCUGCCUUCCCUUGCUGUGGGGAGGGGGACCAAGCCCUGCCCACCCACUGAGGUGCCGCCUCAAGACAGGUCAUCCAGGUCCACUUCAGGGAUCGGGUCUCGCCAGUAGCAGAAGGAGCUGAACUCCGGGCAGGGAAAAGCGGAAUUCUGCUCCUUACUGAGAAGGGGGAACACAUGCUCCACGAGCUCACUCAGCCUGUGAUACCUAAGAGAAAGGUUGGGGAAGAGGCACAGGCUAUUACUUCAAGAUCGGUCAAAGGCACAAGAUGGGGGGCUGUGAAGCUGUCACUCAGAUUGCUCAGGUGGGCAGGUUCAGAGGCAGGCCUCAGUCCCAUCACAGGGCUCAAACUCCCUCUUACAAGUCUAGGAUAACCAGAGACCCCUCAAACAGAUAUUGUGAAAGAGAGAUACCCACAGAGGAGAUGUAGCUGAUCCUUUGAUCAGGGCCUGAUCUCAAGGAUCAGGGGGAAAAGGACAGGGUCUGUCUGUCCCCAACUGUACCCCUGGCUGCAGGGCGCCGGGCUGAGAGCUGAGAAUGUACUUACGAUGACUUGUUUCCUUUGGUUCUUUCUUGUAUUAAUUCACCCUUGGGGUUCACGGUGAAUAUUCUACAGUCUGGAACUCCAACUUGUGUGUAGGCAUAGACAUCCUGCAGAAGAAAAUAGCAAGCGGGUGAUUCCAGGGAGGAGAAUUCAGGAGAUACUUCUCAGGCUCCUUGUGAGCCAGAAGCACUGCACAGACAGACUCGACAGAAAACAUGCGGAGGCGGCACAGUGCAGUUGCCACCAAAACUGAGCUUUAGACAAACCUAAACUACAGAGUGGUGCUUGGAGAGUCAGAAAACUUGGGCAGCCACCAAGGGGAAGCCAGGGUCCCUGGCGCAGAAGAGGCCAGAGAGGCCACAUCUUCUGCACACCUGAGGCCCGAUGGCCCUGCAGAAGGGAGGCAGGUUGGGAAGUGCUAGCGAAGGGCCAGCACUGACCCUGGCUCUGGGGUGAUCCAAGGACGCAGCUCAGAACUGCUUAGAAGAGGAGCCGGAGCUGCCUGAGGAAAUGGAAUGGCAGCCACAGAAACGAUGGAAAAGCGUCCUUCGUAUAAAUUCUGGGGCAGAUCUGCACCUGCAGGACCUCCCCAGUUGCUAUAGAUAUUUGGAAUAGAUCAAGUGAAAACCGAACAAGCAGAACAGAUGCCUCAUUUUGCUUACAAAACUGCUUUGAGAAUUGGGACGUGGCUACACCCCACGAAGUACAUCCCUCUGAAUUUCACCCACAUCAGAACCCAGAGCCCAGGAGAUACUCACAUUUGGACGGUUUCCAAAGGCAGCAUAGAAGGGCUGCUUAGACGGGGCAAACAGAUUCUUGAUAUCAUUUAGACACUC